UUUCCGUAGGUGAACCUGCGGAAGGAUCAUUGUCGUGACCCUGACCAAAACAGACCGUGCACGCGUCAUCCAAUCCGCCAGUGACGGCACCGUCCGUCGCUCGGCCAAGUCCUCGACCACCUCCCCUCCUCGGAGUGGGUGGGGGCUCGGGGUAAAAGAACCCACGGCGCCGAAGGCGUCAAGGAACACUGUGCCUAACCCGGGGGCAUGGCUAGCUUGCUAGACGUCCCCCGUGUUGGAAAGCUAUUUAAUCCACAUGACUCUUGGCAACGGAUAUCUCGGCUCUC
rnacentral:misc_RNA from 1 species